GGAGUAACUACGGGAAACUGUAGCUAAUACCGCGUAGAAUCGGAAGAUGAAAGUGCGGGACCGCAAGGCCGCAUGCCAUGAGAUGAGCCCAAGUGGGAUUAGGUAGUUGGUGGGGUAAAGGCCUACCAAGCCUGCGAUCUCUAGCUGGUCUGAGAGGAUGGCCAGCCACACUGGAACUGAGACACGGUCCAG
rnacentral:rRNA from 1 species